AUUGAACGCUGGCGGCAGGCCUAACACAUGCAAGUCGAACGAGUGGCGGACGGGUGAGUAAUGUCUGGGAAACUGCCUGAUGGAGGGGGAUAACUACUGGAAACGGUAGCUAAUACCGCAUACCAUCAGAUGUGCCCAGAUUGGAUUAGCUUGUGGGUGGGGUAACGGCUCACCAAGGCGACGAUCCCUAGCUGGUCGGAGAGGGUGACCUGCCACACUGGAACUGAGACACGGUCCAGACUCCUACGGGAGGCAGCAGGGGGGAAUAUUCGACAAUGGGCGAAAGCCUGAUGGAGCCAUGCCGCGUGUUUGAAGAAGGCCUUCGGGUUGUAAAAUACUUUCAGGAGGGAGGCGUUACCCACACAGAAAGCACCGGCUAACUCCGUGCCAGCAGCCGCGGUAAUAC
rnacentral:rRNA from 1 species